AGAGUUUGAUCCUGGCUCAGGAUGAACGCUAGCGGCAGGCUUAACACAUGCAAGUCGAACGGUAAGGCUCACUUCGGUGAGUACACGAGUGGCGCACGGGUGCGUAACGCGUAUGCAACCUACCUUUAACUGGAGGAUAGCCCCGAGAAAUUGGGAUUAAUACUCCAUAACAUCAUAAAUAUUCCUAUAUUAAUGAUUAAAGUUCCGGCGGUUAAAGAUGGGCAUGCGUGACAUUAGCUAGUUGGUAAGGUAACGGCUUACCAAGGCAACGAUGUCUAGGGGUUCUGAGAGGAUUAUCCCCCACACUGGUACUGAGACACGGACCAGACUCCUACGGGAGGCAGCAGUGAGGAAUAUUGGUCAAUGGACGCAAGUCUGAACCAGCCAUGCCGCGUGCAGGAUGACGGCCCUAUGGGUUGUAAACUGCUUUUAUUAAGGAAUAAACCCUCCUACGUGUAGGAGGCUGAACGUACUUAAAGAAUAAGCAUCGGCUAACUCCGUGCCAGCAGCCGCGGUAAUACGGAGGAUCCAGGCGUUAUCCGGAUUUAUUAGGUUUAAAGGGUGCGUAGGCGGAAAUAUAAGUCAGUGGUGAAAUCCUGCAGCUCAACUGUAGAACUGCCAUUGAUACUGUUUUUCUUGAGUAUAGUUGAGGUGGGCGGAAUGUGUCAUGUAGCGGUGAAAUGCUUAGAUAUGACACAGAACACCAAUUGCGUAGGCAGCUCACUAAACUAUCACUGACGCUGAGGCACGAAAGCGUGGGGAGCGAACAGGAUUAGAUACCCUGGUAGUCCACGCCGUAAACGAUGAUUACUCGUUGUGUGCGAUAUACAGUACGCGACUGAACGAAAGUAUUAAGUAAUCCACCUGGGGAGUACGUCGGCAACGAUGAAACUCAAAGGAAUUGACGGGGGCCCGCACAAGCGGAGGAACAUGUGGUUUAAUUCGAUGAUACGCGAGGAACCUUACCUGGGCUCAAACGUAGAGUGACCAUCUGUGAAAGCAGAUUUUCCUUCGGGACAGUCUACGAGGUGCUGCAUGGUAGUCGCCAGCUCGUGCCGUGAGGUGUCGGGUUAAGUCCCAUAACGAGCGCAACCCCUAUCUUUAGUUGCCAUCAGAUAAUGCUGGGGACUCUAAAGAAACUGCCUACGCAAGUAGUGAGGAAGGUGGGGAUGACGUCAAAUCAGCACGGCCCUUACGUCCAGGGCUACACACGUGCUACAAUGGCCGAUACAGAGGGCAGCUACCUGGUGACAGGAUGCAAAUCUCGAAAGUCGGUCUCAGUUCGGAUCGAAGUCUGCAACUCGACUUCGUGAAGUUGGAUUCGCUAGUAAUCGCAUAUCAGCCAUGAUGCGGUGAAUACGUUCCCGGGUCUUGUACACACCGCCC
rnacentral:rRNA from 1 species